rnacentral:rRNA from 1 species
GACGAACCGAGCGAACGUUGUUCGGAAUCACUGGGCUUAAAGGGCGCGUAGGCGGGCUGUCAAGUCUGGGGUGAAAUCCCGCGGCUCAACCGCGGAACUGCCUCGGAUACUGACGGCCUCGAGGGGGGUAGGGGCGAGCGGAACUGAUGGUGGAGCAGUGAAAUGCGUUGAUAUCAUCAGGAACUCCGGUGGCGAAGGCGGCUCGCUGGACCCCGUCUGACGCUGAGGCGCGAAAGCCAGGGGAGCAAACGGG